rnacentral:rRNA from 1 species
UUACCGCGGCUGCUGGCACGUAGUUAGCCGUGGCUUUCUGGUUAGGUACCGUCAAGGUGCCAGCUUAUUCAACUAGCACUUAUUCUUCCCUAACAACAGAGUUUUACGACCCGAAAGCCUUCAUCACUCACGCGGCGUUGCUCCGUCAGACUUUCGUCCAUUGCGGAAGAUUCCCUACUGCUGCCUCCCGUAG